GUCGAUGUAACACUAGGUGGCUAUGCGACGAAAUAAAUUACGCGUCCAUGUGUAAGCCUUUGGUUAUCGUCAUCGCGCAAAAUGCGUAUUGAAACGUGUUAUUUUUGCUCGUCUCGAAUUUAUCCGGGACAUGGAAUUCAAUUUGUUAGAAACGAUUGUAAAAUUUUUAGAUUUUGUCGAUCGAAAUGUCACGCGGCAUUCAAAAAGAAAAAGAAUCCGAGAAAGGUUAAAUGGACCAAAGCGUAUAGAAAGACUGUCGGCAAAGAAUUGGCAAUAGAUCCAUCAUUCGAAUUUGAGAAGAGGAGAAAUGUCCCAGUGAAAUACAACAGAGAAUUAUGGACGAAGACUGUGGAAGCUAUCAAGAAAGUUGAAAACAUUAGACAGAGGAGACAGAAUCUACAUAUUUUGCAGCGUUUGCGUAAGGGUCGUACGCUGGAACAAGAAAGGGAUAUUAAGGAAGUACAGCGUGAUCUGUCUUUGAUAAGAUCACCAGCCGCUGGACUUAAGGAAAGAAAGAAAUUGGAAGAGACGGCGGAAGAGGACGAAGAAAUGCAUGAGUCUAACGACGAAAUGGAGCCUGAACAAUUGGAAGAAAAUUGAUUAAUUUUGAAUUCAUGAAAUAUCCUAUUCAAGGAACUUUGUAUUGGACUGCAACAAUUAAUAUUUAAUUGGUGACUUAACUAUGGAAGCACUAAUGCGAUACAUGCAACGCAAUUUAAUUAAACGAACAAAACUGGAUUAUAGAAGCAGUACACUUAAUCUUGUAAUUAUUAUGCUUGAAACUAUUUUCAAUAAUAUCUUCCAUUAUAAUCUACAUGAUUCUCUGGUGGUUCAGACGAUCUUGGAACAUUAGAGAUACAGAGAAUGCAUUCCGCACAUAUAAUCUUAUCAAAUGGAAUCUUAGUAUAAUUAUCAGCCUUGGAAUUAAGUUAUGAAACGAUUUAAAGUGCGAAUAUUUCUUCUUUAAAAUGUAAUCUUACCGAGAGAACCAGUUGUAGAACGACUUGUAAAGCAUUUAAAAACGUAAUCGAAGCGAGCUUUGAAGACAAAGUCGAAGAGAGCUUUUGAACAAAGUCACUUUUAUAAGAACGUAAGAUACACAUUAGCAGCGGUAAGGUGAAGAAGAGAAGCUUUGGGAAGAAGUGGUGGUCGCACUACGAGGUGUGACCGAACCUCGAUGACACUGCAAACACUCGUCUGGUGUUUCCAGCAAUUAUCAGACAAAACGAGGAACUCUGUUUGCUUGCGGUACGAAAUGUGUUACAACAACAACACGGUACGGCAAAGCUGAAAGAGACCAAUAGCAGAAAAAGAGGAAAGAAGGAUCGCCGGGCCACCAUUCGAAAGGAUUUUCAAGGGCGUGAGCUUGCAGAUCUCAUCUAGUCCGUCGAACGAAACGAUGGGCCAAUAUCGGGACGAAGAAUCAGCCUUUGAUUUUUGCCGACGUCCUUGUUUGCUCGGUACUUCGGCUUGUCUCACAUGUCCAAAUUUUCCCGCUAAUGGACUUGAAAAUGCUUUCGAAUUGCGUUUCUCUCGAGCUGUUAUCCGUAAAAUAAAUUUUUUUCGAAAAGAAAAGAAAAAAAAGAAAUAAUUACAUAUAUUUUAGAUACAUCGUUUUAGAUCGCCUCGCUUCACUUAUAAGAUAUUCUAAAUAAAUUGCUAUUGACGAGUCAUCCGGAGUUCUUGGUCUUUUCAACAGAGAAUGCCAAGUAUGAAAAUAGGAGCAAAGCGUCGGAUUCGUGAAAGUAUUUUAAAUUAAGAUACUCGAGAAGAUGGCCUCUAAGAGAGAUUCGCAACGUAAUUAAAGAGGGGAAGUCUCGAGGAAUCCCCGUUACUCAUUUCGAGGAUCCUUCAGUCUGGUGCGCUUGCACGAGAGGAUUCGUGUUUUCGACCACACGCAAAGUUUUAGCGAUGUUUGCUGAGGCAACACGAGGGAGACGCAGACGUGUUACGAAUCGUAAUUGCGAGAGUUGCGUUUUACGACAAAAGCGAGCUAGUUGCUGUUCUUACGCUGAAGUAGCGACGGACACGUACGAAUCUUCUUUUUCUUUUUUCUUCUACUUUUUUUUUUUUUUUCUUUCUUUCUUUCUUUCUUUCUUUCUUAUUUUCGGGGUGGUCUUACAAUGGCGUUAAGUCCCUUUGCGAUGCUACGGAAGAAGGUCGAUGGAACGUUUUUGUAAAGGCUUCCUUCUCAACACAAUGGCUUCCUACUGCAACUGAUCAUCCUGAAGCCGCGAUACAAUGAAUCGAGACACUUUUGAUUCAUGCAAGACACGCAUUCGUGUUCCUGGCCUUACGUGAAUCCCUUUAACAGCACCCACACGUCCUGGAUUUAACCUUACUUUUUAUUUUUCACAGCACCGAA